rnacentral:sRNA from 2 species
UGAAAAGAUUGGCCGAAUUUCGCAAUGAAAACGGGGGAACCGUAUAUUUUGGGGUGAAUUUCACGGAGCUUCAACUCCCAGCAAGGGGAUAUGUUCCGCGAAUAGGGCAACUGGGCAUGUCCGAAUCCGUCAGCUAACCUCGUAGGCCUGUGCAUCAGGAACC